rnacentral:tRNA from 2 species
GGGCGGUUAGGGUAGUCUGGAUAUCCUGAUGGGCUUCGGACCCGUCGACGCGGGUUCGAAUCCUGCACCGCUCAC